rnacentral:rRNA from 1 species
CCUACGGGUGUCAGCAGUGAGGAAUAUUGGUCAAUGGGCGCGAGCCUGAACCAGCCAAGUAGCGUGAAGGAUGACUGCCCUACGGGUUGUAAACUUCUUUUAUAAAGGAAUAAAGGGAGGCACGUGUGCCUUUCUGUAUGUACUUUAUGAAUAAGGAUCGGCUAACUCCGUGCCAGCAGCCGCGGUAAUACGGAGGAUCCGAGCGUUAUCCGGAUUUAUUGGGUUUAAAGGGAGCGUAGGUGGUUUGUUAAGUUAGUUGUGAAAUUUUGAGGCUCAACCGUGGAAUUGCAGUUGAAACUGGCAGGCUAGAGAACAGUAGAGGUGGGCGGAAUUCAUGGUGUAGCGGUGAAAUGCUUAGAUAUCACGAAGAACACCGAUUGCGAAGGCAGCUCACCGGACUACAACUGACACUGAGGCACGAAAGUGUGGGGAGCAAACAGGAUUAGAUACCCUUGUAGUC